rnacentral:rRNA from 1 species
AGUGAACGCUGGCGGCAGGCCUAACACAUGCAAGUCGAACGGCAGCACAAGAGAGCUUGCUCUCUGGGUGGCGAGUGGCGGACGGGUGAGGAAUGCAUCGGAAUCUGCCCAUUUGUGGGGGAUAACCUCGGGAAACCGGGACUAAUACCGCAUACGACCUACGGGUGAAAGCAGGGGAUCUUCGGACCUUGCGCAGAUGGAUGAGCCGAUGCCGGAUUAGCUAGUUGGAGGGGUAAAGGCCCACCAAGGCGACGAUCCGUAGCUGGUCUGAGAGGAUGAUCAGCCACACUGGGACUGAGACACGGCCCAGACUCCUACGGGAGGCAGCAGUGGGGAAUAUUGGACAAUGGGCGCAAGCCUGAUCCAGCCAUGCCGCGUGUGUGAAGAAGGCCUUCUGGUUGUAAAGCACUUUUGUUGGGAAAGAAAAGCAGCCGGUUAAUACCCGGUUGUCAUGACGGUACCCAAAGAAUAAGCACCGGCUAACUUCGUG